GGGUUGUGAGGUUAAGCGACUAAGCGUACACGGUGGAUGCCCUGGCAGUCAGAGGCGAUGAAGGACGUGCUAAUCUGCGAAAAGCGUCGGUAAGGUGAUAUGAACCGUUAUAACCGGCGAUGUCCGAAUGGGGAAACCCAGUGCAAUUCGUUGCACUAUCGUUAACUGAAUACAUAGGUUAACGAGGCGAACCGGGGGAACUGAAACAUCUAAGUACCCCGAGGAAAAGAAAUCAACCGAGAUUCCCCCAGUAGCGGCGAGCGAACGGGGAGCAGCCCAGAGUCUGAAUCAGCUUGUGUGUUAGUGGAACGGUCUGGAAAGUCCGACGGUACAGGGUGAUAGUCCCGUACACCAAAAUGCACAGGCUGUGAACUCGAAGAGUAGGGCGGGACACGUGGUAUCCUGUCUGAAUAUGGGGGGACCAUCCUCCAAGGCUAAAUACUCCUGACUGACCGAUAGUGAACCAGUACCGUGAGGGAAAGGCGAAAAGAACCCCGGCGAGGGGAGUGAAAAAGAACCUGAAACCGUGUACGUACAAGCAGUGGGAGCACCUUCGGGUGUGACUGCGUACCUUUUGUAUAAUGGGUCAGCGACUUAUAUUCUGUAGCAAGGUUAACCGUAUAGGGGAGCCGCAGGGAAACCGAGUCUUAACUGGGCGUUAAGUUGCAGGGUAUAGACCCGAAACCCGGUGAUCUAGCCAUGGGCAGGUUGAAGGUUGGGUAACACUAACUGGAGGACCGAACCGACUAAUGUUGAAAAAUUAGCGGAUGACUUGUGGCUGGGGGUGAAAGGCCAAUCAAACCGGGAGAUAGCUGGUUCUCCCCGAAAGCUAUUUAGGUAGCGCCUCGUGAACUCAUCUUCGGGGGUAGAGCACUGUUUCGGCUAGGGGGUCAUCCCGACUUACCAACCCGAUGCAAACUACGAAUACCGAAGAAUGUUAUCACGGGAGACACACGGCGGGUGCUAACGUCCGUCGUGAAGAGGGAAACAACCCAGACCGCCAGCUAAGGUCCCAAAGUCAUGGUUAAGUGGGAAACGAUGUGGGAAGGCACAGACAGCCAGGAUGUUGGCUUAGAAGCAGCCAUCAUUUAAAGAAAGCGUAAUAGCUCACUGGUCGAGUCGGCCUGCGCGGAAGAUGUAACGGGGCUAAACCAUGCACCGAAGCUGCGGCAGCGACACUAUGUGUUGUUGGGUAGGGGAGCGUUCUGUAAGCCUGCGAAGGUGUGCUGUGAGGCAUGCUGGAGGUAUCAGAAGUGCGAAUGCUGACAUAAGUAACGAUAAAGCGGGUGAAAAGCCCGCUCGCCGGAAGACCAAGGGUUCCUGUCCAACGUUAAUCGGGGCAGGGUGAGUCGACCCCUAAGGCGAGGCCGAAAGGCGUAGUCGAUGGGAAACAGGUUAAUAUUCCUGUACUUGGUGUUACUGCGAAGGGGGGACGGAGAAGGCUAUGUUAGCCGGGCGACGGUUGUCCCGGUUUAAGCAUGUAGGCUGGUUGUCCAGGCAAAUCCGGAUAAUCAAGGCUGAGGUGUGAUGACGAGGCACUACGGUGCUGAAGUAACAAAUGCCCUGCUUCCAGGAAAAGCCUCUAAGCAUCAGGUAACAUCAAAUCGUACCCCAAACCGACACAGGUGGUCAGGUAGAGAAUACCAAGGCGCUUGAGAGAACUCGGGUGAAGGAACUAGGCAAAAUGGUGCCGUAACUUCGGGAGAAGGCACGCUGGUGUGUAGGUGAAGUCCCUGCGGAUGGAGCUGAGACCAGUCGAAGAUACCAGCUGGCUGCAACUGUUUAUUAAAAACACAGCACUGUGCAAACACGAAAGUGGACGUAUACGGUGUGACGCCUGCCCGGUGCCGGAAGGUUAAUUGAUGGGGUUAUCCGUAAGGAGAAGCUCUUGAUCGAAGCCCCGGUAAACGGCGGCCGUAACUAUAACGGUCCUAAGGUAGCGAAAUUCCUUGUCGGGUAAGUUCCGACCUGCACGAAUGGCGUAAUGAUGGCCAGGCUGUCUCCACCCGAGACUCAGUGAAAUUGAACUCGCUGUGAAGAUGCAGUGUACCCGCGGCAAGACGGAAAGACCCCGUGAACCUUUACUAUAGCUUGACACUGAACAUUGAGCCUUGAUGUGUAGGAUAGGUGGGAGGCUUUGAAGCGUGGACGCCAGUCUGCGUGGAGCCAACCUUGAAAUACCACCCUUUAAUGUUUGAUGUUCUAACGUUGGCCCCUGACCGGGGUUGCGGACAGUGUCUGGUGGGUAGUUUGACUGGGGCGGUCUCCUCCCAAAGCGUAACGGAGGAGCACGAAGGUUAGCUAAUCCUGGUCGGACAUCAGGAGGUUAGUGCAAUGGCAUAAGCUAGCUUGACUGCGAGCGUGACGGCGCGAGCAGGUGCGAAAGCAGGUCAUAGUGAUCCGGUGGUUCUGAAUGGAAGGGCCAUCGCUCAACGGAUAAAAGGUACUCCGGGGAUAACAGGCUGAUACCGCCCAAGAGUUCAUAUCGACGGCGGUGUUUGGCACCUCGAUGUCGGCUCAUCACAUCCUGGGGCUGAAGUAGGUCCCAAGGGUAUGGCUGUUCGCCAUUUAAAGUGGUACGCGAGCUGGGUUUAGAACGUCGUGAGACAGUUCGGUCCCUAUCUGCCGUGGGCGCUGGAGAAUUGAGGGGGGCUGCUCCUAGUACGAGAGGACCGGAGUGGACGCAUCACUGGUGUUCGGGUUGUCAUGCCAAUGGCACUGCCCGGUAGCUAAAUGCGGAAGAGAUAAGUGCUGAAAGCAUCUAAGCACGAAACUUGCCCCGAGAUGAGUUCUCCCUGAGACUUUAAGUCUCCUGAAGGAACGUUGAAGACGACGACGUUGAUAGGCCGGGUGUGUAAGCGCAGCGAUGCGUUGAGCUAACCGGUACUAAUGAACCGUGAGGCUUAACCUUACAACGCCGAAG
rnacentral:rRNA from 1 species